AUGGCCGCUGUGGCACGCGACCGGCGGAGAAGGGGCCGUGCUCCCAGGGCUGCCUCCGCUGCUGCGGCUGAAGACGACGGGGAGGAGCAGCACCUCAAUCCCUUCCUCUCAGACGAGGUACCCUCGUUCUCGAGAGUCCAGUUCAGGAACGUCGCGUCGCGGGCGCGGUGGGUGGAGGAGGCUGGUGCGGCAGAGGUGUUGGACAACAAGGGGAAGCUCUGGCUGACCACUGGCAUAGCACGGGGUGGCAAGCUCUACUACAAUGUGGAGGAGAUUGGGUUCUUGGCAGAAAGAGGGGCAUUGGUUCUUCUUGAUGACAAGGAUGAAACAGUUGGAAUGGAGGAGAUCUAUGGAAAGAUUGCAACAGGAAGUUAUGGGUGCUCCUGGGAUGCCUUCCAAGCUUACAGGCACUUGAAGUUGCUUGGCUACAUUGUUGGACGAUAUGACGUUCCCUGGACAAUGAAGCAAAUCCGUUUCGGUGACGUCACCAGUUCCCCCGAGAGUAUGGAUGGCACAAGCCUGAGCUUUGGCAAAGCAAAUGGUGCCUGCAAUGACAUUACCAAAUUGCUCAAAGGAAUGUGCAUAGAUGGGAUGUAUCCAUCCUUUAAAGUGCAUCUACCAAAUAGCAAAUUUAAGAAGUCGUCCCCAGGAGUCCCUAGUUUUCUUGUAUGUCUGUUAAGAGACAAGCCACCCUCAAGGGAUGAACUGCAAACAGUGGAAAACAAGUUUGACGGCAUUCGUCUUAAAUUCUGUCAAGUUGAUAAUGGGCGUAUCAGCUUCCUCUCCUUUGAUAAAGUUACACUUCCUAGUUUGCCCUGA
rnacentral:rRNA from 1 species